CUAGGAUUAGAUACCCUAUUAUUUAAAAUGUAAAAACUAAAGUAUUAAUAGAUAUGAUCUUUAAACUUAAAAAAUUUGGCGGUAUUUUAGUCUAUUCAGAGGAACCUGUUUUAUAAUCGAUAAUCCACGUUGGACCUUACUUUAAUUUAUAGAUUAGUUUAUAUACCGUCGUUAUAAAAAAUUUUAUAAGAAUAAUAAUUUUUAAAAUUUUAUAUCAGAUCAAGGUGUAGCUUAUAUUAAAGAAAAUAAUGGGUUACAAUAAAAUUAUUUAUAUGAAUAUAAAAAUGAAAAAUUUAUUGAAAAUGGAUUUGAAAGUAAAAUUAAAUAGAUUUUUAAUUUGAUUUUAGCUCUAAAAUAUGUACAUAUCGCCCGUCACUCUUAUUAUUAAAAUAAGAUAAG
rnacentral:rRNA from 1 species